rnacentral:rRNA from 1 species
UUGNAGAGUUUGAUCCUGGCUCAGGACGAACGCUGGCGGCGUGCCUAAUACAUGCAAGUCGAACGAAACUUUCUUACACCGAAUGCUUGCAUUCACCGNUAAGAAGUUGAGUGGCGGACGGGUGAGUAACACGUGGGUAACCUACCUAAAAGAAGGGGAUAACACUUGGAAACAGGUGCUAAUACCAUAUAUCUCUAAGGAUCGCAUGAUCCUUAGAUGAAAGAUGGUUCUGCUAUCGCUUUUAGAUGGACCCGCGGCGUAUUAACUAGUUGGUGGGGUAACGGCCUACCAAGGUGAUGAUACGUAGCCGAACUGAGAGGUUGAUCGGCCACAUUGGGACUGAGACACGGCCCAAACUCCUACGGGAGGCAGCAGUAGGGAAUCUUCCACAAUGGACGCAAGUCUGAUGGAGCAACGCCGCGUGAGUGAAGAAGGUCUUCGNGAUCGUAAAACUCCUGUUGUUMCAGAANAAUACGAGUGAGAGUAACUGUUCAUUCGAUGACCGGUAUCUAACCAGCAAGUCACGGGCUAACUACGUGCCAGCAGCCGCGGUAAUACGUAGGUGGCAAGCGUUGUCCGGAUCUAUUGGGCGUAAAGGGAACGCAGGCGGUCUUUYAAGUCUGAUGUGAAAGCCUUCGGCUUAACCGGAGUAGUGCAUUGGAAACUGGAANUUUGAGUGCAGAAGAGGAGAGUGGAACUCCAUGUGUAGCGGUGAAAUGCGUAGAUAUAUGGAAGAACACCAGUGGCGAAAGCGGCUCUCUGGUCUGUAACUGACGCUGAGGUUCGAAARGCGUGGGUAGCAAACAGGAUUAGAUACCSCUGGUAGUCCACGCCGUAAACGAUGAAUGCUAGGUGUUGGAGGGUUUCCGCCCUUCAGUGCCGCAGCUAACGCAAUAAGCAUUCCGCCUGGGGAGUACGACCGCAAGGUUGAAACUCAAAGGAAUUGACGGGGGCCCGCACAAGCGGUGGAGCAUGUGGUUUAAUUCGAAGCAACGCGAAGAACCUUACCAGGUCUUGACAUCCUUUGACCACCUAAGAGAUUAGGCUUUCCCUUCGGGGACAAAGUGACAGGUGGUGCAUGGCUGUCGUCAGCUCGUGUCGUGAGAUGCUUGGGUUAAGUCCCGCAACGAGCGCAACCCUUGUUSWCAGUUGCCAGCAUUAAGUUGGGCACUCUGGCGAGACUGCCGGUGACCAACCGGAGGAAGGUGGGGACGACGUCAAGUCAUCAUGCCCCUUAUGACCUGGGCUACACACGUGCUACAAUGGACGGUACAACGAGUCGCGAGACCGUGAGGUUUAGCUAAUCUCUUAAAGCCGUUCUCAGUUCGGAUUGUAGGCUGCAACUCGCCUACAUGAAGUCGGAAUCGCUAGUAAUCGCGAAUCAGCAUGUCGCGGUGAAUACGUUCCCGGGCCUUGUACACACCGCCCGUCACACCAUGAGAGUUUGUAACACCCAAAGCCGGUGGGGUAACCGNCAAGGAGCCAGCCGUAUAAGGUGGGACAGAUGAUUGGGGGUGAAGUCGUAACAAGGUAGCCGUAGGAGAACACUGCGGCUGGAACACCUCCUU